UACACGACGCAUGAAUAAACGAAUAAUCAUACGUAUACACCGAUAACAGUAUCUCGAAUAAAAUCGUCAGUCGCAUAAUUACUCGAGAGGCACAGUCAAGAUAAACCGGCUUGUUAAGAAACGUAACGAGCAGGUAACGUUAGACCCGGUGCACGCUAUUGUGAGACGAACCGUGAUUUACGAUCGUGUAAGAGCAUUCGGAUAACUUCACCACGAGGAAACACGACCCUAUCUCCUUUGCAGUCGAUACCUUAGUUCGGAUAUACAAGAAUAUGCAGGAUAUUUCCGUAGCCAGAUUAGGAAAGGUUUAAGGCUCUAAAUGCAUAUGUAUAUGCAGAAAACUUGACAAUAAACUUCAUAAAGUUGUCGUGGUUAAAUUAUUGUGUAUUUCGUUUCUGAAACGUCACCAUGGAAAUAUGUCCUCUUGGAAAUAUUUCUUACGGCUCCAAUCCACCAACUUGUCUUGUUCAAUUUUGAAAGCGGUUUUAUGAAUGAUUUAUGAUUUCAAUAUUUUAAAUUCAAAGUUAUAAAUGAUUCGGGAUUGUGAAUGACUUUCAGCAUUGUCUUCGUGUCUCUCUUGAUGCCAUUAACAUCGUCAUUAAGGUCCAGAGAAAUCGGCGUGCAAAACUCGUGAGUCCACGCUUGUCUAUCUAUAGUACCGGCCGUAUUCUGUCGCGUGAUGCAACUUUAUAAGCACGAGGUCCUUCGAAAUAAUUCGGAUAGCGCAACGAAAGAAUAGCAGAGGCAAACAUCGUUCUUCUUUCCCAAACAUGUUUAAAGGAAGAAAAGCUUCGAGUAGCUUCUUAUAAUAUGAGGCUGAAAAAUGAUAAAUAAGAUAUUUUGACUAAGAAGAACGAAAUAUUUAAAUUAUUUGUCAGAAUUUGUAAUUAAUAAUUACAAUUAUUAUGUGAAUUUUUCAGUUGAAGUAAAAAAGA